AUUGAACGCUGGCGGCAGGCCUAACACAUGCGAGUCGAGCGGAUGAAGGGAGCUUGCUCCUGGAUUCAGCGGCGGACGGGUGAGUAAUGCCUAGGAAUCUGCCUGGUAGUGGGGGAUAACGUCCGGAAACGGGCGCUAAUACCGCAUACGUCCUGAGGGAGAAAGUGGGGGAUCUUCGGACCUCACGCUAUCAGAUGAGCCUAGGUCGGAUUAGCUAGUUGGUGGGGUAAAGGCCUACCAAGGCGACGAUCCGUAACUGGUCUGAGAGGAUGAUCAGUCACACUGGAACUGAGACACGGUCCAGACUCCUACGGGAGGCGGCAGUGGGGAAUAUUGGACAAUGGGCGAAAGCCUGAUCCAGCCAUGCCGCGUGUGUGAAGAAGGUCUUCGGAUUGUAAAGCACUUUAAGUUGGGAGGAAGGGCAGUAAGUUAAUACCUUGCUGUUUUGACGUUACCAACAGAAUAAGCACCGGCUAACUUCGUG
rnacentral:rRNA from 1 species